rnacentral:rRNA from 1 species
CCUACGGGCGGCAGCAGUGAGGAAUAUUGGUCAAUGGCCGGAAGGCUGAACCAGCCAUGCCGCGUGAAGGUCAGUGCCCUAUGGGCGUUAAACUUCUUUUGUGCGGGAGCAAUAAUGGUCACGUGUGGCCAGACGAGAGUACCGUACGAAUAAGCAUCGGCUAACUCCGUGCCAGCAGCCGCGGUAAUACGGGGGAUGCAAGCGUUCUCCGGAUUUAUUGGGUGUAAAGGGUGGGUAGGCUGUGAGGUAAGUCAGCGGGGAAAUGCCCCCGCUCAAAGGGGUGAAGUGCCAUUGAUACUGUCUUGCUGGAAUGCGGAUGCCGUGGGAGGAAUGUGUGGUGUAGCGGUGAAAUGCAUAGAUAUCACACAGAACACCGAUUGCGAAGGCAUCUCACGAAUCCGCGAUUGACGCUGAUGCACGAAAGCGUGGGUAUCAAACAGGAUUAGAUACCCCAGUAGUC